rnacentral:rRNA from 1 species
CAGCAGCCGCGGUAAUACAGAGGUCUCAAGCGUUGUUCGGAUUCAUUGGGCGUAAAGGGUGCGUAGGUGGCGUGGAAAGUUGAGUGUGAAAUCCUAGGGCUUAACCUUAGAACUGCACUCAAUACUCCCAUGCUAGAGGAAUGUAGAGGAGAGUGGAAUUCACGGUGUAGCAGUGAAAUGCGUAGAUAUCGUGAGGAAGACCAGUUGCGAAGGCGACUCUCUGGGCAUCUCCUGACACUGAGGCACGAAGGCUAGGGGAGCAAACGGGAUUAGAUACCCCGGUAGUCCUAGCAGUAAACGGUGCACGUUUGGUGUGGGCAGGCUCAGACCCUGUCCGUGCCGGAGCUAACGCGUUAAACGUGCCGCCUGGGAAGUACGGUCGCAAAUUAAAACUCAAAGGAAUUGACGG